rnacentral:rRNA from 1 species
AGUGAACGCUGGCGGCAGGCCUAAUACAUGCAAGUCGAACGAGCCCGCAAGGGCAAGUGGCGAAAGGGUUAGUAAUACGAUCGAAUGUACCCUGAGGUGGCGGAUAGUCGUGGGAAACUGCGGGUAAUACGUCAUGAUCUCUCCGGAGCAAAGAUUUAUCGCCUUGGGAGCAGCGAUCGUCCUAUCAGGUAGUUGGCGGGGUAAUGGCCCACCAAGCCGAAGACGGGUAGCGGGUGUGAGAGCACGGCCCGCAACAUCGGAACUGAGACACUGUCCGGACUCCUACGGGAGGCUGCAGUAACGAAUCUUCCGCAAUGGGCGAAAGCCUGACGGAGCAAUGCCGCGUGUGGGAUGAAGCGCCUU